rnacentral:lncRNA from 1 species
AACGUUGUGCGCAGUUUUGGCACAUGUGAGCGCCCACGUGGGCAGGCCCGCACCGUGGGCCUAGAUGAGUGUCUCCAGAGCGCCCUCCCCCCCCCCCCGCCCUGGUCAGGCCCAGGUGGCCGCUGGCUUCCCCGGGGCUCCUCCUCAGCAGAGCCAGAGGCGCACCUCUGUGGGUUUCCACUCCGUGGAUGCUGCUGUCCGUCCACCGUGGGAAUCCGUGGCUCCAUCUUGUUAUGGCCAAGUGGGCCUUCCCUGAGUGGCUGUAGUCCGGUUUCUUUUCACUCUUCUCGGUGGACAUUGGAGUGUUUCGAGUUGUGGGCUGUUCUGAAUGAGGCUGGCGGGGACACAGGACGCCGGCAUUCGUGUGGACGCUGCCUUCGCCCUCCUUGGGGAUAUCUGGAGGUGGGAUCGCUUUCCGACCAGGUAGAACCUCUGCUCAUCACAGCGCACAUUGAAGAGGUUUGCAGCACCAUUCACAGGGAGCACCUGGUGCUGUCUGCUGGCCUUGACCAGGCUCUGUUCCGUCCAGCGAUCCCUUGCCUGUGGCUGGACAUGGCAGCUUUAAGGACACAGGCCGAGGACGUGUGUGGGCAAGGCCUCAUCACAGCUCCAUUCCUGCCAAAGAUGCUGAGGCCGGGGACCCCGCGGAGGUGCCUGCUGGCCUCCUGCAGCCGGCGGAAGGGACUCCGAGCGUGUGCGCCCGUUGGAGUCAGGACAGCCUAAUUGAAGGCCCGUCUCCGUCCAGACUCCAGGAAUUACAGCCCAGCGCCGGCACUUUCAUUUCUGAGCUCCUGUUCCGUAAUUAGAGCUUGAGGAAAUGGCACACCGUACGCGGGAGUGAGUCUGCCUGCAGCCGGGACAGUCAUCCUGGAAGGAGGAGGUCCAGAGCUCAGACGCGGAGGCACAGUGCGGGCCAGAGCGCGUGCCUGCAGGGCGGAGGGUGGCUCCUCUCUGGGAACUGGUUGCACUGCCCCGAGCACCUGCAGCUGCUGCUGGCUCACGCAGGCCCUGUAUAGAGGGACCACCAGGAGCCACGGGAAGAAGUCCUCGCGGGGUUGUGGAGGGACGCGGUGUGGUCAGAGCAGAGGACUGGUCGACGCCCACCCGGGCAGGCCCCUCUGCUGUGUCCCUUCCUUCCCCUCCCUCUGCCUGUCUUCCGCGCACUGCUCCCAGUGCCCUCAGCCCCAAGCCCUGUGGACUAGAGGCAGAGCUGGCCCAGCCACUGCUGAGGCAGAAGGACCGUGACCUGGGGACUGGGCUGACGUAAAAGUCCCUGAAAAUUCACUGCAGAUGGGUCCUGUGCUGCAGCAGGUUACGCCGGUGCUCAGGAUGCCCACAUCACAUGUGGGGGUGACUGUUCAAGCCCCAGCUGCUCCACUUCCAGUCCGGCUCCUGCUCCGUGGACGAUGGCCCAAGGACUGAGGUCCCUGCCACCCAUUUGUGAGACCCAGAUGGGGUCCUGGCUCCUGGCUUUGGCUUGGCCCAGCCCCGGCUGCUGCACAUUUGGGGAAUGAACCUGUAGAUGGAAGAUGGGUCUCCCCCCCCCCCACCUCCUUCUCCCUCCCCCACCCCCUCUACCUUUCAAAUAAAUUUUUAAAUUAAUUCA